UUUGAUCCUGGCUCAGAUUGAGCGCUGGCGGCGUGCCUUACACAUGCAAGUCGAACGGCAGCACGGGAGCUUGCUCCUGGUGGCGAGUGGCGAACGGGUGAGUAAUAUAUCGGAACGUACCCUAGAGUGGGGGAUAACGCAGCGAAAGUUGCGCUAAUACCGCAUACGAUCUACGGAUGAAAGUGGGGGAUCGCAAGACCUCAUGCUCAUGGAGCGGCCGAUAUCUGAUUAGCUAGUUGGUGGGGUAAAGGCCUACCAAGGCAUCGAUCAGUAGCUGGUCUGAGAGGACGACCAGCCACACUGGAACUGAGACACGGUCCAGACUCCUACGGGAGGCAGCAGUGGGGAAUUUUGGACAAUGGGGGCAACCCUGAUCCAGCAAUGCCGCGUGAGUGAAGAAGGCCUUCGGGUUGUAAAGCUCUUUUGUCAGGGAAGAAACGGUGAGGGCUAAUAUCCUUUGCUAAUGACGGUACCUGAAGAAUAAGCACCGGCUAACUACGUGCCAGCAGCCGCGGUAAUACGUAGGGUGCAAGCGUUAAUCGGAAUUACUGGGCGUAAAGCGUGCGCAGGCGGUUAUGUAAGUCAGAUAUGAAAUCCCCGGGCUCAACCUGGGAAUGGCAUUUGAGACUGCAUGGCUAGAGUGUGUCAGAGGGGGGUAGAAUUCCACGUGUAGCAGUGAAAUGCGUAGAGAUGUGGAGGAAUACCGAUGGCGAAGGCAGCCCCCUGGGAUAACACUGACGCUCAUGCACGAAAGCGUGGGGAGCAAAAAGGAUUAGAUCCCCUGGUAGUCCNCGCCCUNNCCCCUUAAAGGGAGUUGUCGGGACUUAAUUGUUUUGGUUAACGCAGCUAACGCGUGAAGUAGACCGCCUGGGGAGUACGGUCGCAAGAUUAAAACUCAAAGGAAUUGACGGGGACCCGCACAAGCGGUGGAUGAUGUGGAUUAAUUCGAUGCAACGCGAAAAACCUUACCUACCCUUGACAUGUACGGAACCUCUGAGAGAUUAGAGGGUGCUCGAAAGAGAGCCGUAACACAGGUGCUGCAUGGCUGUCGUCAGCUCGUGUCGUGAGAUGUUGGGUUAAGUCCCGCAACGAGCGCAACCCUUGUCAUUAGUUGCUACGAAAGGGCACUCUAAUGAGACUGCCGGUGACAAACCGGAGGAAGGUGGGGAUGACGUCAAGUCCUCAUGGCCCUUAUGGGUAGGGCUUCACACGUCAUACAAUGGUACAUACAGAGGGCCGCCAACCCGCGAGGGGGAGCUAAUCCCAGAAAGUGUAUCGUAGUCCGGAUUGUAGUCUGCAACUCGACUACAUGAAGUUGGAAUCGCUAGUAAUCGCGGAUCAGCAUGUCGCGGUGAAUACGUUCCCGGGUCUUGCACACGCCCCCCGUCA
rnacentral:rRNA from 1 species